rnacentral:rRNA from 1 species
AGCAUGUGGUUUAAUUCGAUGCAACGCGAAGAACCUUACCUACUCUUGACAUCCAGAGAAUUCGCUAGAGAUAGCUUAGUGCCUUCGGGAACUCUGAGACAGGUGCUGCAUGGCUGUCGUCAGCUCGUGUUGUGAAAUGUUGGGUUAAGUCCCGCAACGAGCGCAACCCUUAUCCUUUGUUGCCAGCACGUAAUGGUGGGAACUCAAAGGAGACUGCCGGUGAUAAACCGG